GGGUAACAGAGCCCAGUUUUAAAAAAAAACGCAAUGACGGGGCCCUGAGCACGAGGAUUGGGUACACACGACUAAAAUGAAAAGCAAAAGUGUAUUACACCGCAUACUGUAUCAUGAAGAAAAGACGAGUGUCUCGAAGAGCUGUGAAGCGGAAUACUGUUGACGACCAGCAAUGCUUGAACUUAACGAGACUGGAAUGACAUGUAUGGACUGUUACAUUGCUGUUAUACCAUUGGGUUUCUUCCAGUUCAGGGCUAUCCUAUGGGGGAUGCAGAGCCUAUCCAAGCAUGCAAUGGGCACAAGGCAUGGAAGACCCUGGACGAGAUGUCAGUCCAUUGCAGGGUAGGGCAUAUGAACAGACACAAACACAGACACGCGCACAUUCACA